rnacentral:rRNA from 1 species
GACGAACGCUGGCGGCGUGCCUAAUACAUGCAAGUUGAGCGCUGAAGGUUGGUACUUGUACCAACUGGAUGAGCAGCGAACGGGUGAGUAACGCGUGGGGAAUCUGCCUUUGAGCGGGGGACAACAUUUGGAAACGAAUGCUAAUACCGCAUAAAAACUUUAAACACAAGUUUUAAGUUUGAAAGAUGCAAUUGCAUCACUCAAGAUGAUCCCGCGUUGUAUUAGCUAGUUGGUGAGGUAAAGGCUCACCAAGGCGAUGAUACAUAGCCGACCUGAGAGGGUGAUCGGCCACAUUGGGACUGAGACACGGCCCAAACUCCUACGGGAGGCAGCAGUAGGGAAUCUUCGGCAAUGGACGAAAGUCUGACCGAGCAACGCCGCGUGAGUGAAGAAGGUUUUCGGAUCGUAAAACUCUGUUGGUAGAGAAGAACGUUGGUGAGAGUGGAAAGCUCAUCAAGUGACGGUAACUACCCAGAAAGGGACGGCUAACUACGUG